ensembl:miRNA Mir5128 microRNA 5128
UCUUAAUUACUGAGGUCUUUCUAGCUCCUGUUUUACUAAUUUAAAAAGUGCAAUUGGGGCUGGCGAGAUGGCUUAGUGGUUAAG